GAUGAAGAACGCAGCGAAAUGCGAUAAGUAAUGUGAAUUGCAGAACUCAGUGAAUCAUCGAAUCUUUGAACGCACAUUGCGCCCCCUGGUAUUCCGGGGGGCAUGCCUGUUCGAGCGUCAUUACAACCCUCAAGCUCUGCUUGGUAUUGGGCCCCGCCAGUUCUGGCGGGCCCUAAAGUCAGUGGCGGUGCCUUCCGGCUCCGAGCGUAGUAAUUCUUCUCGCUCUGGAGACCCGGCUGUGUGCUUGCCAACAACCCCCAAUUUUUUAAGGUUGACCUCGGAUCAGGUAGGGAUACCCGCUGAACUUAAGCAUAUCAAUAAGCGGAGGA
rnacentral:misc_RNA from 1 species